ACUCUUCCACAUCUCAUUGCCUAAUUGUGUUCUCUUCUAGUAGGUGAGUGUUAAACUCAGACAUUAAAGGAUCUCUGCCAAUUACCUGAAGCUCAACAUUUGAUCUGUCUGAAAAUCUCACCGCUCCUUGGGGGACUGCUCCUCUGUCUGCAUCCUGAGUGCUGCCUUCUCUCCUUGCUUAGCGCAGUGUAAAGCAAACAGCCUGGAGAUCUGUCUAGACCUAUUUGCUGCCAGAGACCAACACUUCAUUACACCUCCUGCCGUAUGAUUCCAGGUGGCAUCUUCAGAGGACCAUGCAGGAUGAACCUAUCUUACCUGUCUUCAGAUGGGAUGCAUCUAGAUUCCUGAAGGAAAUGAAUAACCAAGUGUAUCUGUGGUUAACCGAGGUGCGGUCGGAGAUAUUUCUGCAUUGGAAGGAGCAAGGAAUCAGCGUUCCCUGCAGUGGAGCUGGGAUCAAAGGGCUGUGAUGCCCCAGCCCAGGGUGUCUGCAACCUCCAGAGGUUCACGGUCCAGCCUCCCAGGGUCAUUUAAAGAAUCUGUUGGCAGAGAAAGGAAAAUAGCUUUUUCCCCAACAAAAUGACCCAGUCAACGCAUUUCACAUUCCCAAACAAGCUCAGAUGCUUCCCCAGCCGUCAGACACUUACGUUUAUUGCUAAAGUUGUGUAUCAAGUCUGAAGAUCAUCAUCUCAUUGUGCCAUGGUUUUAUGCCUUCAUCCCCUCUCACCCAGCACUUGUGGUCCAAGAGAUGAACCUGAGAAGGGAAGAGACAAUUAUUUCAGUGCUGCAGGUGGGAAAUGGAGUCACAAGGCAGCGAACAGCUUGAGAAGGGCUGUACAGUAACCAAAAGUCACAGAGAUACAGCAAAGCAGAGAAAAAGGGCUGAGUUUCUAUAUUCUGGUGCUUCAAUCACAUUGCCAUCUUCUUUCUCUGCCCCUUGGUUAUUUCAGGUCUGAUAAUGGUGAUAAGUGAGGAUUUCCAUAGGUCUACUCAUUUUUGAUUGAUGAAAGAUGCUUUCAGAGGACUGAUCCAUAAAGCUAUCCCUGGAAGUGUUCAAGGCCAGGUUGGCCCCCAUGGCAGGGGCUUGGAACUGGAUGAUCUUUAAGGUCCCUUCUAACCCAAACCAGUCUGCGAGUCUGUGAUUCUAUGUCCUUUUACACAGGGCUGUCUGGCAGACUGUAUCCAAGAUCAGGAUAAAAAUACCAUUACAGAUACUGCCCUCCCCACAUUGCUCUGUUCUGCCUGCAGUACUCUCCUAGGUUGCCUCAGGAUACCUCAGCGAGACCUGCGCCUUCGUCCUUGUUGAACCUGCCCUACUUUCCUGGGGUGAGUAACAACAGCAGCCGAACCACAGCAUCAGAGAAGUCAGGGAAGAGCUGCUUGUGUGAGCAUUGAAGAGCAUGGAGCAGCUUUGUGCAAUGGAUAGAAGUCACUUCAGUCAACGUUGGCUUCAGUAUCUACAAAUGAUUUCAUCAUGCUAGGAUCCUUCUGUAGUCAAUGGGGAGAAAUAGGCUCUUAAGGGUGUGAUUCAUGUGACCUACUUUAGGCAUCUACUUUGGAGUGAGAUGAAUUACACCUCUGGCUCCAUCGACUGUAUAUUGAUGAGAUGUCUGUCUACUAUAAGAAAGGAGCUUUGGGUGACUAGCUUAAACUUAGAAGCCUGAAUUUAAUCAGAUUAAUCCACCCUGUAUGUCUACACAUGCUUCAGUUCUCCCUCGUUGCUGUGUAGACGUGGCAGGGAGUGCCUUUUUUCCCUUUGGAAGCCUGCAAAUAAAUCAGAUUCAGAAAGCACUCAAAAAAGAGCAGCAAUGAGAUAAGGAUGGCAUGUGCAGGAAGCUGGGCAUGGAAAGAUAUUUGCUUCCCUGUGUCUUCGGGGGAAAAAAAAAAAAAGCAGAAAUCAAGGGCAAUAAAGGUGAUUUUGUGCCUAAAAAUAAAUAUAUAUUGGUGAAGGGAGGUUUCCUGGAGUUUUCUGGCAAUUUGCCACAGAAGGGAAAAAAGGUCCUCCCCUCCCUACUGAGCCAUUCUUCCUUGAAAGGUUUGGACAAUUACUGCAUUUUACCUUUUCCACCACAGCGUGGAUGCUUUCUUCUUUUUAACAGUUUGUCUAUGAGCAUUUUAGCUUCAGCUUAAUAAGAGAGGAUUGAUGUUCACACUCUAUGGAGAGGUUGUACAGGGCGACGUUUCUGCUUGUUGCAGCAAGAAGAUUAUUGAAAAAGAGGCCUCAGGCAAGUGGGUGGGGGGGGAUAAUAGUAAAAAGUAACCUGUCCUCUUCCUCCACUACAAAAAAACCCCACAAUGAGGUGCAGAGAGAGGAUAACAAAUCUCGGUGGCGUAAAACGGUUGUCAUCAUGAGAAUCGAAAUCCUACCAAAACAGAAUGAUAAUGCUUUAUGUUCAACCCUCCCACUGGGAAGAAAAAGGAAAUCUCACCUAUUUGCCCCAUGUCUCUGACAAAAGUGACUCGACUGCUUCAAUCAAGAGCUACAAAAGAGUGCCUUCUUCCAUUUCUUUAUUUCAAGUGCCCACCUCCCUGUGUGGAUCUGAGCUUCUGGAAGGUGCUCAC